UGCAGAGCAACCUCCUUUUAGAGUCUCCUUUCAGAGCCCAUGUACUCUGGGACUUGUGAAAGUGACCGGUGAGACUAACAGAAACAGUGUGGGCCGGGACACGGUGUCCCUGUGCGAAGGAGAUUUUCUGUACUUGGGAGCCGAGGCCUUCUUAAAAGCUGAUGCUAUUGAGCUGUAAUGCCGCAGAUUCUGCAGAGAUUUUCAGCGUCCCGUGGUCCCAGGUUUUCUCUCAUUGAGACAUGCUUUGCAUCUCAUAAUUAAUUGGCCAUAUGGUCACUCUGGCAAGUAAAACUCCCCCCUGUGAGCGAUUGUUGCAUUUGAAAUGUUCUCGUCUAAAACUUACACACUCUUUUAUAGGGAAAUCUAAACGGGCCUGGCAUAUAGUUCGUAUAGAGGCUGAAAGAUUGAUUUUACAAGUCAAAUAUUGAUUUCAUUCAAUUUUAGUGUUGUCUGCGACAAAGAAAUUAAAUUGCUUUUUAAUCACCGUAAUCCCAAGAUAAUGCCACCGCAGAAUAACUUUGAAAUGUGACCGCACCUCCAGGAGGCAGGAGACAGAGUGGAGGAAGAGCUGCUUUAAAUGACGUACGCUGUGGCGUCCCAGAUGUUGCCCCUCAUUAAUAUCAGUCUUGUAUCCAUUACAGGUUCCUGUGUAUGCUAGUCAACACACACUAAUGUGUCAUAUAUCACGUACAAACAAGAUCAAGCCCACACAUUAAAAGUUAAUUUUACUAAAUAAACUUGGAGCAUAAUAAGUGCAUGUAUGUAUGAUUUCUCGCCCUUGUUUUGGAAUUUAUGAAAACAGGGUUGAUGGCCUUUAAGAAAACAUACAAUUGUAUUUUUUCAAGAUGUUAACAUUGAAGGUAGAUGCAAAAUAAUGUUUAACUGCAAUAUAUAUUUUUUAAUUUAAAUGAUUUAAGCAAUACAUCACAAUUUGUAGCAUUUGAGCUUGCAACAGACUGCAUUUUCACCAUAUGGGGAAACCCUGAUAGACAUUAAUAUUUAGAAUGCCUUAAUAUCCAGUGCAUAUCAUCAAUUGAUCAAAAUGAUCAAUGUCUUUAACCAGAAGGGGGUCAACAAACAGCACUGAAAGGCUAUAAGUGAUACUCUUAUCUGGAUACUAAAUGGAGUACAGGUGUGCGGUGAGCAUCCAGUCCAUCUGUCAGCUGUCCAAACGAUGCUCAGAGUGUCCCACCGAUUCACUUCAUGGGAAUUCUCUCCCCUCAUGCUCUGCAAAUCACGCAUCCACACAAGCAAGACGUCUGCUCCUACAGAUGGCUAAGAGAAAUAUACAGAGAUGAUUACGAGGGAACCCAGAUCCAGUUAGUGCAGCAUGUGUCCCUUUCAUCCUUUGUAUAUAUUUCUGGCUCGUCCGUUUUACCCCAAUUAUUAUUAUUAUUUUACUGCAUUUCCUGCUUUAAUGACUUUUUAACAUGUCAUCUCUGUGCACACAAGUUGACUGAUGAAUUAAUUGGCUGUCCAUAGAUUGUAUCGAGAAUACAAAUCAAUUGAUUGGGAAACGAAAGUGAUGAAAGAUUAAAGGUCAUAAUUCUGAGGUGCCCACUGCUCUCUGGGCUUCUAACAGCCAUCUUGCCUAAUUAAAUACCAGCUGUAUAAGUUUGUAAAGUAAGCUAUGAGCUAACUGCACCGUGGAUACGGGGAUUAUGUAAGAACAUGAGCAGAGAUUCCCCAGGUGACUGGAACGGGUUUAAGGAGGUUUAGUAUUACAAAUGUAUAGGAUUGAAUAUAAUGGAGGCAGGCCAGAUGGAAUUGUUGGCUUCACCUGGGGUUCAGUACAUCAAGCAGUCGAUGCAGGGCAGCCAUUAAACAGCCCGGCCCACGCCCCCAUGGGCCCCAUGAAGCCUGGGAAAGGAUACUCUUAUCUGCAGGAUUAGAACCCUUAGUCUAACCUGGAAGACCCACCGCUGCAGCCUACACAGAUGCACAGCCCUGGUGAGCAGGUCCAGGGGAGCCUCUUAUCACGCGGAGAGCUGGUAAUGGAUGGUACGGCUUGCCAGGGCUUGUACGUGAAGCAUAAAGCAUGCUUGCAUUAAGCCUGCGGGAGUUCAAGGCCAGGCUUGACGCAGUGAACCAGGGUUCCAGAGGAAGGAGGGCCAUAGCAGUUUUGAAGACUUCAUACGAACAUCUACGUCUAAGUGCAAUCAAAGGCAUACAUGGGGGUUGAUCAUUUAAGGAAUCAUAACUGGGCAGUACACCCCCCAAUAAAUUGUUUUGAUAAAUACAAAAUGGCAUACCCACACCCCCCUACACGGAUGUGUGUGCACCUCAACCCCUCCAAUGAGUAUGCCUGUGUGAGUACAUGCCUGAGUGUGUGUGUGAGUAAGUAUCGAUGUACAGUAUACAGUAUGUGUGUGUGUACACGUCUGAGUGUGUGUGUUCGUGUCUGCGUGCGUGUGUGGGUGGAUCAAAACCGGUACAGCCUCCAGCUUGUCGAACUGAGACCCCCACUGCCCCAAACAUCUCGACUGGCAGCCAUACUCUGACUAGCUGCCUGGCCUGGUGCUCAGCCCAUUACGGUUGGCCUCCCAUCGAUUCUACACUUAUAAUUUGCCUGUGUUUUCUCUCCAGGAACAAAGGGCCGCCCAGGGUGCGCCCAGGACGUACCAUCUGCACACAGACCCGGGCGCCAGCUCUCCUCGCCGCUGUGCCUUUUCAGGCCUCCUUUUAUUUAUUCAUGUUUCUUAUUCUCCACCUGCUAUCGGUAACAAGCCACAACCGCCGCUGUUUUUCUCCACCUCCACGCAGAGGCCCCUGACGUGGAGAAUAACUCAGAGAGGCGCCGCCAGAAAUCCCCGCCGUGGCUCACGUUCGAGUGCCGCCUCGUAGCGCCGGUCUUGUUGCGGAUGCAUUCGGGGUGUGGACACUGGAGGGUUUCCUACGGGAAGUCGCCUCGGGCGACCGGUCUCUGCAGGGCCAUAACCUGGGGGACCCCCCGUGGUUGCUUCACUCUCAGAAAUAAAAUAUGAGAGUGGAGGUCUGUUUUCGUUCUUCGAGGAUCAAAUUUCCCCUGAAAGUAAUGUUCUCUUUGGGUACAUAUGAGUACAUUUCCAAACCAAAAAGGCACGGUUCCUGCCUUUAUUUCCGAGAGCGCACGGAUACGGUUGAGGAAAGGUUACGCUCGCGAGGAACAGACUGCAUAUCCCACAGCCUGUCAGUGGAGACUCGGAGCUCACACAGGUACACUGAAGUCUGGCAGAGCCAGAGCCCAGCUGGAGCAGAAUGAGGAGCGGCGCGGACGCAGGAAUGCAGGGUGUUCAAACAAAAGCAAGAGCCUCUGCAAAAUGAGCAAAACAAAAGCGUGUCAUAUCUGGGGGGCUGGCAGCCGAUCCAAACCGCCUGUUCCGGGAGACGCGGGCGGGGGGACGGAGAUGAAAGGGGCAGCUGUCGGACACAGAGGGGGUGUGACGAGAGUCAACGACAGGCGUGGGACUGUGACAACCUGGACCAGAAACGCACAAAACCAUCGACCGAAUAAACAGCUUUUUAUCACACGAAACACGGCGCAAUAAGAGACCUGGGAAUCAAUGGAUCAACCUAGUGUUUCCUGCGUUUCAACUGAUUCUCCAAUGGAACGAUGCAAGAAUAAGCCAAAAGGGAAACAGAGAGAAGCUUAAGAGACAAAAGGAAUCAUUGUCACGUAAAUGUUUUUUUGAAAUGGUACCAUCACUUUUUCAGAUCAUGUUUUCCUCUCAGUCUGCUGUACUUCCAGUGAAUUGUUUGAAAUACGGCGUAGAAAACUUAGAUGAAAAUUAUAAGCUUAAACCAAAAUAUUUAAUUUUGUAUUUCUGAAGACAAAAACAUUAGAGAAACCUGAAAAGCUAGCAGCCUGAUUGCUCACAAUACUCUGGCACAUAAAACAUUCUGACAACGUGGCUACAACAUUGCAAUGCAUGCUGAUGCAGUCAACAUCAGGGGGAGAAGAAAGGAAACGGAGGAAAGAGAGAUCUCAGGAGGUCUUCCUCUACCCCUCUGCUUUGUGCGGUCCCCCUGAUGAGGACUGUACACACCAGGAGGUUAGCGACUCGGUGUUUAUUAUGCAUGACGCGACACGCAGGUUUUACCACUGCCGUAAUGGGCCUCUCAUGAAUUAGGAGGCUCUGACUGACAGGAUCAGCGUUUGUCAAACAGACACAAAACACUUUCUGCCCGUGUUUCCACACGGUCGUCGCGGUUUCACAUAUCAAAACGCACGCAGCAUGAAAGCGCCGUGCAUGUCGAAGUACAGGGAAACGCAGGAGAAUUGCGUUUGAACGUUUGAAUUAUUGCACACCCCAAAAGCAACGGUCAAUCAGUCGAUAAUUUAAAAGCAACUGAGGCCACUACAGAUUUAAGAUUUUAUAGCUGCAUUUCUAUUGAAAACCUGUCCAGGCCUCAGCAUUAAAAGAAAAAGAAAAAAGAGUAAAGUGAACUGUGAAAUGUGAAUCAUGGAAAAGGCAACAUGUAAUGUCUCCCUGUGUAAUCAGCUUGCACAGCCGUGGCCAAUCCGCACCGAGCGUUGGUGCUGAUGCUCCAUUUUAAUGGCGGAAAGCGCUGGAGCGGCUCACACCUUAUUUCCUGGGACAUCAACUUGAGUAUGUUUAAAAAUAGCAACACAUUAAUUUAUUUCCGUUUUAAUUUUGCCAGGAUUUCUCUAGGUUCAGAAUAACCAAUUAAAUCUGUUUGUCUGGAUCACUGCCAUCUCCUUUGUCAGGUGAGAAUACCACACACACCGAUUUGGAGCAGACCUGUCAUCCGAUGCUAGUGCAGAGAAGGGAAGGGGGGUGGGGGCUGCAUACAUCUUUCAUACAGAUCUCAUACAGUACAAUUCGGCCCAUCUACCCUGUUUUAACACGGUAAGCCACCCAGUAGCUGAAGAUGUCUGGAACUGGCCAUAUGAGGCUAGGUGUGGUGCCCCGUUCAUAAAUAAGCCAUCUAAGAGGAAGAGUUCAGAGAUUGAAGUUCCGCUUUAUGAGAUCAAUAAAUGUAUGCAUAUCACUUACAUUGCUCCUAUGACGUAUUAUAUAUAUAUAUAUAUAUAUAUAUAUAUAUAUAUAUACUGGUAAUCAAGUGAUGGCAUGAAAGUUAAUCUUUAUUUGUACUCGUUCAACAGCAGUGUAUGUGAAUUUGACGUACCUGAUGAGGGCAAGGGCAUAGGUUUACUUCGGAGAGCGGCAGGGACAAAUCAGCGGGGUUUCUGGGGGUCACCCCCAAAAAACUUUAAAACACAUUUCCUUUAAUGUAUGCCUAUGUUUCUGACUGUUUUAUUUUUUAUUUCUUAGCCGCAUUAUGGCUUCCUUGACUUUCAAGGCGACAUGGCUCAGGCAGUAAGAGCAGUCAUCUGGCAGUCGGAGGGUUGCCGGUUCGAUCCCCCACCUGGGCUGUGUCGAAGUGUCCCUGAGCAAGACACCUAACCCCCAAAUGCUCCUGACGAGCUGGUCGGGGCCUUGCAUGGCAGCCAAUCGCCGUCGGUGUGUGAGUGUGUGUAUGAAUGGGUGAAUGGAGAAGCAUCAAAUUGUCCAGCGCUUUGGAUAAAGGCGCUAUAUAAAUGCCUGCCAUUUACCAUUUACUUUCACUGGUGAAACUCUGGUCCUCAUGUUGACAAAUGCCAAUAACUCCAAUAACUCCAAAGGCAAUAAAAAUCAAAUACAUCUGACUACUCUGAAAAACACUGUCCAAUUACAUUUGUCCCCCUACAAUUGGGGGACCAAGUAUAAAAACUGAUGUAAUUCCUACAUGGAUCACCUGAUAUGGAUGUAAACACCCUCAAAUUAACCAUACAUUGCCUUUUGGCCCUAUAUUCCUUCAUACUAUUUGCCUCUUUCCUGAUUUUAUCUAUUUUUGCUUAUUUGUCACACUAAAUUGGUUUCAGAAAAAAAAGAGACAAUAUGUAAUAUUAGACAAAUGAAAACUUUCAAGGCACUGUAUUCUGUUAUACUAUUCUUUGUGAGUGCUGUUGUUUUUCUACUCACUGCAGAUUCAGCAGUAUCAUGAUUGCUGCUAGUGCAGUUGAUCGGUGUAAUUUGUCACACUAAUGUUGUUGUCCAUAGCAGUCCAGUCAGUCUAACGGCUCCAAAAUAAAGUCCAACUGCUUUAAUAAUGCAGUUGGACCAUGCAUCGCUACCACAAGAUAAUUCAUCACCCGAAAUCAUGAAGAUAUUUUCUUCCCUGAAAUAUUUCCAUGUAGACCCUUUAUUGACUGUGAACAGUGUACAUAAGCUCCGUUUUACUGUGUACAACACAUUUCUGGCUAAAUAGGCAGACAUCUUGGUCAACAACCAAACCCAUUUGUAGAUUCCUGCUCGGUUCAGCUCAUGAUCUGUAUUCGGACAAACUGAAACACUGCUAAAGAAAGAAAUGAGGCUAAAGAUUUGGCCUCAUUUACAACUGAAUCUAGAUUUACUGCAUCUGUAGUAAUUAUUAUUAUUUACAAGGGAAACACAUUCUCACCAAAAGCACUUCAUUUUGAUACAUCCUCCAGAAGAUUGCUAUACAGAUACCCAGGGCUUUGUUUUGUAAUAGGUUCCUUUAACUAAAUUUAAAAAGCCUACAAACAGAGGAUGGGAAAAGCAAUUAGAAUCUUUAUUAUACGAGUGAGAAACUGUAAAAUGUCCAGUAACUUUGUGGGGAUAUUAAUAUUUUAGUGUUAAUUUACACCGGAUAUCCAAUUAAUCAAGGAUAAAAUGUAAAACAAAGUGCCCUACUGAAAUGUACUGUUUUCUUUUGCCAAGGGAUCACACUACAGUAAUUAGCUCACUCCUGCUUUCCUUUAUUCCCUGUUCUGUUUCUCCAGGUAAUUCUGCACGUCCUCUGUAUGAUCAAAAACACUUCUGUGGUGGUGCAGGCACUGUAAAAGUCAUUAGGAACCAGGGCUACUACUCAAUACUGCUUUGAGUAACCACCUGACCAUAACAACCUUACCGAGAUAAAUUUUGAUCCGAGAAUGCUGAAUCUAAAAUUUUACAAUAAUUUUAGUGCCGAAUCAUUCCAUGACAAGCUACUUACAGGGCUGAGUUUCAAGUGAAUUAUACAAUGAAUUAAAUAUGUGACACUGCUGCUUCCUGUAAUUGUAAUUACAUUAGCACUUCCAUAUUACUGGAGCACGCCAUUUCUUUUCAUUUGUUCUUAUUUCCCCUGUGACAGUUAUGUGAGCUUUUAAAGAUGAUAAGAGCACGGAGGCUGAUUAAUGACUUCGUAAUUUUUUAAUUUUAGGCUGCAGACUAUAAAUAAUUCUGUUGUGGGCAACAGCUUCAUAAGCUGGUAAAAAGGGAUAUUUCCUUAAAAUGGCUGGCACUUUAAAAAUCUGAGGCAAUGCACUGUACCUACUCCUUUAAAGCCACAGUGUUUCUUUUUGUACCACAGCCUUGUAAGCAUUUGCUAGCCCACAUAUUGGAAGUAAAUAAUGAGAUCUCCUGUGUAUGGUGACAAAGUGUCUGUGAAGGCAAUCCUUUUUCUGGCAGGAGAAAAUGAAGUUAACGUUUUUUUUUUUGUUCCUUGUUCCGCAAAUGGGAAUUUCGCUGGCGAGUGACUGAGGCUGUGCCUUUCUCCUAGCAGACUGCAGAACCCGGCACUACGGAUUUCUUUAUAGUGGGAGGAUUAAAACAUGUAGGUUGUCUUGAUCGGCAAUGCAGGAGGAGGGACACACUGAGCAGAAAGGGAGAGUGAGAGAGAGACAGAUAGAGGGUGAAAGAGAUUGAGAAAAUGCUGUGAUUAAACUGGCCAUGCAGAUGUCCUACUUACACAAAGGCUUCACUCUCAUAAACCGAGGCCUUUCCUUCCCAUAUUGAAACUGCGAUGUAAAGUUUGGCCACAUGUGAGUGAGGUAGAUGCUGUCCUGCAGAUCUGUGGACCUACAUCAGCAGGCCGCCCAAAUAAAUGCAAUAAUGGGUCUGCCGAUCUGCCCAUGCAGGCCAGGUGAAGGGGAGAGAGAGGGAGAGAGAGAGAGCGCGUCUCCAACAGAGCCGUGCGCAGUGGGCUUCCUCACUCGGCUGUCCUCUGCCUCCAGACCCAGUCAUCCAAGAAAACCCAGUGCCACCAACCCCAAUAGAGAGCCAUCAACACAGCAACGGGGCAUGCAGACAGAGCGAGGGCAAGGAACACGGUCAAAUCUAUGAGCGCAAUGACCUGGAACAUUUCACUUUUUUUUGUUGAUAAACUGAAGAAUGUACACUGAGUGGACUGAUAUAACCUUCUGUUUCUCUCCAGAACCUUUUCUGGAAUGGGGGCUUUUCCAUUAUGAGCACUGAAAUGGAUUUGUUUGCCUGUUUUCCUGUUGGGUAGUUCCAUGUUAUGGAAUGUCUGGGAAGCCAAAUGGAAAAAUUCAUU